rnacentral:sRNA from 1 species
GAGAAGAGGAGGUUGGCGUGGAGCACAGGCAGCACCGAGCCUGCCCCACGAGCUGAGGGCCUGCAGUCUGCGGCUGGAAUCAGGAUGGACACCAAGGCAGGACCCCCAGAGAUGCUGAAGCCUCUUUGGAGAGCAGCAGUGGCCCCCACAUGGCCAUGCUCCAUGCCGCCCCGCCGCCUGUGGGACAGAGAGGCUGGCACGUUGCAGGUCCUGGGAGCGCUGGCUGUGCUGUGGCUGGGCUCCGUGGCUCUUAUCUACCUCCUGUGGCAAGUGCCCCGUCCUCCCACCUGGGGCCAGGUGCAGCCCAAGGACGUGCCCAGGUCCUGGGAGCAUGGUUCCAGCCCAGCUUGGGAGCCCCUGGAAGCAGAGGCCAGGCAGCAGAGGGACUCCUGCCAGCUUGUCCUUGUGGAAAGCAUCCCCCAGGACCUGCCAUCUGCAGCUGGCAGCCCCUCUGCCCAGCCUCUGGGCCAGGCCUGGCUGCAGCUGCUGGACACUGCCCAGGAGAGCGUCCACAUGGCUUCAUACUACUGGUCCCUCACAGGGCCCGACAUCGGGGUCAACGACUCAUCUUCCCAGCUGGUGCGCCCCGCCCUGGCCCCACCGCAUCCUGGUGCUGGAAACACAGCAAGUCAGGCUGCCUAUCUAUGCAGGCGUCUCGGGCACCAGGCCCGGGGGCUCAGCUCGGUGGUAG